rnacentral:rRNA from 1 species
AAUGAACGUUGGCGGCAGGCCUAACACAUGCAAGUCGAACGGAUCCUUCGGGAUUAGUGGCGGACGGGUGAGUAACGCGUGGGAACAUACCCUUUGGUACGGAAUAGCCUCGGGAAACUGGGAGUAAUACCGUAUGUGGUCGAGAGACGAAAGAUUUAUCGCCAAAGGAUUGGCCCGCGUUGGAUUAGGUAGUUGGUGGGGUAAUGGCCUACCAAGCCGACGAUCCAUAGCUGGUUUGAGAGGAUGAGCAGCCACACUGGGACUGAGACACGGCCCAGACUCCUACGUGAGGCGGCAGGGGGGAAUGUUGGACAAUGGGCGAAAGCCUGAUCCAGCAAGGCCGCGUGAGUGAUGAAGGCCUUAGGGUUGUAAAGCUCUUUUACCAGGGAUGAUAAUGACAGUACCUGGAGAAUAAGCUCCGGCUAACUCCGUGCCAGCCGCCGCGGUAA